CGUAUAUUAAAGUUGUUGCAGUUAAAAAGCUCGUAGUUGGAUUUGUGGCGUAUGGUGUGUUCCGGGCACUUGUUGUCUGAGUAACCUGCUGUUGCCAUCCUUGGGUGGAACCUGUGUGGCAUUAGGUUGUCGUGCAGGGGAUGCCCACCAUUUACUGUGAAAAAAUCAGCGCGUUCAAAGCAGGCUUAUGCCGUUGAAUGUAUUAGCAUGGAAUAAUAAGAUAGGACCUUGGUACUAUUUUGUUGGUUUGCGCACCGAGGUAAUGAUUAAUAGGGACAGUUGGGGG
rnacentral:rRNA from 1 species